rnacentral:rRNA from 1 species
UACGGGGGGGGUAAGCGUUGUUCGGAAUUACUGGGCGUAAAGCGUGCGUAGGUGGUUUGUUAAGUCUGAUGUGAAAGCCCUGGGCUCAACCUGGGAAUGGCGUUGGAUACUGGCGAGCUAGAGUGCGGUAGAGGGUAGUGGAAUUCCCGGUGUAGCAGUGAAAUGCGUAGAGAUCGGGAGGAACAUCUGUGGCGAAGGCGACUACCUGGACCAGCACUGACACUGAGGCACGAAAGCGUGGGGAGCAAACAGG